GACGAACGCUGGCGGCGCGCCUAACACAUGCAAGUCGAACGAGCGAGAGAGAGCUUGCUUUCUCGAGCGAGUGGCGAACGGGUGAGUAACGCGUGAGGAACCUGCCUCAAAGAGGGGGACAACAGUUGGAAACGACUGCUAAUACCGCAUAAGCCCACGGCUCGGCAUCGAGCAGAGGGAAAAGGAGCAAUCCGCUUUGAGAUGGCCUCGCGUCCGAUUAGCUAGUUGGUGAGGUAACGGCCCACCAAGGCAACGAUCGGUAGCCGGACUGAGAGGUUGAACGGCCACAUUGGGACUGAGACACGGCCCAGACUCCUACGGGAGGCAGCAGUGGGGAAUAUUGCACAAUGGGGGAAACCCUGAUGCAGCGACGCCGCGUGGAGGAAGAAGGUCUUCGGAUUGUAAACUCCUGU
rnacentral:rRNA from 1 species